rnacentral:rRNA from 1 species
CUGGAGGUAUCAGAAGUGCGAAUGCUGACAUAAGUAACGAUAAAGCGGGUGAAAAGCCCGCUCGCCGGAAGACCAAGGGUUCCUGUCCAACGUUAAUCGGGGCAGGGUGAGUCGACCCCUAAGGCGAGGCCGAAAGGCGUAGUCGAUGGGAAACGGGUUAAUAUUCCCGUACUUGGUGUUACUGCGAAGGGGGGACGGAGAAGGCUAUGUUGGCCGGGCGACGGUUGUCCCGGUUUAAGCGUGUAGGUGUGUGUUCCAGGUAAAUCCGGUUCACUUUAACACUGAGGCGUGACGACGAGGCACUACGGUGCUGAAGCAACAAAUGCCCUGCUUCCAGGAAAAGCCUCUAAGCAUCAGGUAACAUCAAAUCGUACCCCAAACCGACACAGGUGGUCAGGUAGAGAAUACCAAGGCGCUUGAGAGAACUCGGGUGAAGGAACUAGGCAAAAUGGUGCCGUAACUUCGGGAGAAGGCACGCUGACACGUAGGUGAAGUGAUUUACUCAUGGAGCUGAAGUCAGUCGAAGAUACCAGCUGGCUGCAACUGUUUAUUAAAAACACAGCACUGUGCAAACACGAAAGUGGACGUAUACGGUGUGACGCCUGCCCGGUGCCGGAAGGUUAAUUGAUGGGGUCAGCGCAAGCGAAGCUCCUGAUCGAAGCCCCGGUAAACGGCGGCCGUAACUAUAACGGUCCUAAGGUAGCGAAAUUCCUUGUCGGGUAAGUUCCGACCUGCACGAAUGGCGUAAUGAUGGCCAGGCUGUCUCCACCCGAGACUCAGUGAAAUUGAACUCGCUGUGAAGAUGCAGUGUACCCGCGGCAAGACGGAAAGACCCCGUGAACCUUUACUAUAGCUUGACACUGAACACUGGUCCUUGAUGUGUAGGAUAGGUGGGAGGCUUUGAAGUGUGGACGCCAGUCUGCAUGGAGCCAUCCUUGAAAUACCACCCUUUAAUGGCUGGUGUUCUAACGU